rnacentral:lncRNA from 1 species
AUACAUACAAGGAGAGAUUGAGAUACAAAUUUGUUAGAUUACGCCAUCUUUAUGGGAUGAACUCUUCCUCCAUUUCUCCACUAUAAACUCUCUCUUCUCAAUUUCAUAUUUAAUUUCAGAUAUCACACAUCUAUUUAAUUAACUAACCCUAACUAGUAAAAAAGAUCCAAAAUCUUGGGCUUCUCUUCAUCACCGCCGAUGUCAUUUCCGAUUGAAUUUGGGGAGUACUCUAUCAUAAUCGGAGCAUUUUGAUUGUUAGCAAUUGGUCGAAGGACGGGUUGGGCUUGUGGUUUGUGCACAACACGGAGAGGAAGUAUCUUUCCACCCUUGAGAAUCAUGCCUGCCGCUGAACCAAACACUGUCCAUUUUUCGUUGCAAAACAAUCCGAACAGGUUUAAUUGUAUCGCCAACCGGUCCAACAAGGAAAGAUCAGAAUACAACUAAAAAAAGGUUCAGAUCAAAUCAUGAAUUAAUUAUGAGAAUUAAUUACGUGUGAUUAAUAAAUAAAAUUAAGAUAGUUGUGUUACCAGAUCGUUUAAUGCAGCGGAGAGAGGACAGGUAUAUUAGGAGGAAGGUCAUCCCGAAGAAAUUCGAGAUGAAGAGAAGAGCAUUCGCUUGUGCCUGGGAAUUAUCGAUCCAACUAACGAAAUUAGAAUUAUGCAACUGGAUUCAAGUUUCAUAUUGAAUCAGAAUUGCUUAAUUAGAGCUCAUAUUUGCAAUUAAUGAGUAAAAAGUCUAAGAAUUUGAUAUUACCAAGCAUUCAUGGUCUAUUAAAAAAGUUGAGACGAAGACAUUACUAUAUCAUGGAGCAGGAAUCAACCAUAUAAUUAACAUUUAAGUGUGUUGUAUUGAAUAAACAAAUAGCUUUCUUGAAAUAAAUAUAUAACUAUUCUUGUCAUUAAACAUAUAUAUAUAUAUAUAUAUAUAUAUAUAUAUUUGAAAAAUAUAGAAAGUAACUACUUACCCGAAAAUAAAACAUUGAUAUGCCAUCAGCAGCCCUCUUGUUGUGAUGUUUGUAGAAUUAAUCGCAAAUACUAGCCAAUAUAGGAAACUGCAUAGCCAAGUACACAAAAACAA